rnacentral:rRNA from 1 species
UGGUAGUCCACGCUGUAAACGAUGUCGACUUGGAGGUUGUGCCCUUGAGGCGUGGCUUCCGGAGCUAACGCGUUAAGUCGACCGCCUGGGGAGUACGGCCGCAAGGUUAAAACUCAAAUGAAUUGACGGGGGCCCGCACAAGCGGUGGAGCAUGGGGUUUAAUUCGAUGCAACGCGAAGAACCUUACCUACUCUUGACAUCCACGGAAUUUAGCAGAAAUGCUUUAGUGCCUUCGGGAACCGUGAGACAGGUGCUGCAUGGCUGUCGUCAGCUCGUGUUGUGAAAUGUUGGGUUAAGUCCCGCAACGAGCGCAACCCUUAUCCUUUGUUGCCAGCACGUAAUGGUGGGAACUCAAAGGAGACUGCCGGUGAUAAACCGGAGGAAGGUGGGGAUGACGUC